rnacentral:rRNA from 1 species
AUUGAACGCUGGCGGCAUGCCUUACACAUGCAAGUCGAACGGUAACAGGUCUUCGGAUGCUGACGAGUGGCGAACGGGUGAGUAAUACAUCGGAACGUGCCUAGUAGUGGGGGAUAACUACUCGAAAGAGUGGCUAAUACCGCAUGAGAUCUACGGAUGAAAGCAGGGGAUCGCAAGAUCUUGUGGCACUAGAGAGGGCAAUGGCAGAUUAGGUAGUUGGUGGGAUAAAAGCUUACCAAGCCGACGAUCUGUAGCUGGUCUGAGAGGACGAUCAGCCACACUGGGACUGAGACACGGCCCAGACUCCUACGGGAGGCAGCAGUGGGGAAUUUUGGACAAUGGGCGAAAGCCUGAUCCAGCAAUGCCGCGUGCAGGAUGAAGGCCUUCGGGUUGUAAACUGCUUUUGUACGGAACGAAAAGCCCCGGGUUAAUACCCUGGGGUCAUGACGGUACCGUAAGAAUAAGCACCGGCUAACUACGUGCCAGCCGCCGCCGUAA